rnacentral:lncRNA from 1 species
GGAGUCGACUCGCGCACUUUGGGAGUCGACUCGUUGACAGGUUCUGAGUUGAAGCUUUCUGUUCUUCUGUCUGUUCUCAGUCGGAGUCGACUCGUACAGAUCUGGAGUCGACUCGAGCCCGUGCCAGUGAACUUGAUACGCUUGGAGUCGACUCGUGAUACUCUGGAGUCGACUCGAGUCUCAGACUUUGGUUCAAGCUGACUUCUUAACUUAUCCAAAAAUUUGAACCAAGUCUUGAGACACUUAGACAAGAUUUUUACNGAAACACUUAAUUGAAUUCAUUAGUAAACAAGAAAUAUACUCAAUUGCUUUGAUCUCAUCAAAAUCAAAUAGGGUUUUAAUCAAUCACUCCACAAUCUCCCCCAUUUUGAUGAUGACAAAACACUGAGUAUAUGUAAAGUGAAUUGCACAAUAAACAA